CAGUCGCCGCGGGAAUACGUAGGUGGCAAGCGUUGUCCGGAAUUAUUGGGCGUAAAGCGCGCGCAGGCGGAUCAGUCAGUCUGUCUUAAAAGUUCGGGGCUUAACCCCGUGAGGGGAUAGAAACUGCUGAUCUAGAGUAUCGGAGAGGAAAGUGGAAUUCCUAGUGUAGCGGUGAAAUGCGUAGAUAUUAGGAAGAACACCAGUGGCGAAGGCGACUUUCUGGACGAAAACUGACGCUGAGGCGCGAAAGCCAGGGGAGCGAACGGGAUUAGAUACCCCCGUAGUCCCUGUCUCUUAUACA
rnacentral:rRNA from 1 species